rnacentral:tRNA from 1 species
CGAAAUAGCUCAGUUGGUAGAGCAACUGAUUCGUAAUCAGUAGGUCGGUAGUUCGAGUCUACUUUUCGG